GUAUGAGUGUAUCACAGAGCUCCACAGCAAUAAACUCACAGUAAUGUGCAGUGUGUAUGAAUGUAUCACAGAGCUCCAUAACAAUAAAAUUCACAGUAAUGUACAGUGUGUAUGAAUGUAUCACAGAGCUCCACAACAAUAAAACUCACAGUAAUGUACAGUGUGUAUGAGUGUAUCACAGAGCUCCACAGCAAUAAACUCACAGUAAUGUGCAGUGUGUAUGAGUGUAUCACAGAGCUCCACAACAAUAAUACUCUGUGUUUAGG